rnacentral:rRNA from 1 species
UACGGAGGGGGGCUAGCGUUGUUCGGAAUUACUGGGCGUAAAGCGCACGUAGGCGGCUUUGUAAGUUAGAGGUGAAAGCCCAGGGCUUAACCCUGGAAUUGCCUUUAAGACUGCAUCGCUUGAAUUGUGGAGAGGUGAGUGGAAUUCCGAGUGUAGAGGUGAAAAUUCGUAGAUAUUCGGAAGAACACCAGUGGCGAAGGCGACUCACUGGACACAUAUUGACGCUGAGGUGCGAAAGCGUGGGGAGCAAACAGG